UCCUGGCUCAGGACGAACGCUGGCGGCGUGCUUAACACAUGCAAGUCGAACGGACGAGCACCCUUCGGGGUGUAAGUUAGUGGCGGACGGGUGAGUAACGCGUGAGUAACCUGCCUUGGGGUGGGGGAUAACACAGGGAAACUUGUGCUAAUACCGCAUAAGAUCAUAGGGUGGCAUCAUCUAGUGAUCAAAGAUUUAUUGCUCCAAGAUGGGCUCGCGUCCGAUUAGAUAGUUGGUGAGGUAAAGGCCCCACCAAGUCAACGAUCGGUAGCCGGACUGAGAGGUUGGCCGGCCACAUUGGGACUGAGACACGGCCCAGACUCCUACGGGAGGCAGCAGUGGGGAAUAUUAGGCAAUGGGGGAAACCCUGAACCCUAGCGACGCCGCGUGAAGGAUGAAGGUUUUCGGAUUGUAAACUUCUUUGGCAGAGGACGAUAAUGACGGUACUCUGAGAACAAGCCACGGCUAACUACGUGCCAGCAGCUGC
rnacentral:rRNA from 1 species